GAGUUUGAUCGUGGCUCAGAUUGAACGCUGGCGGCAUGCCUUACACAUGCAAGUCGAACGGCAGCACGGGAGCUUGCUCCUGGUGGCGAGUGGCGAACGGGUGAGUAAUGCAUCGGAACGUAUCCUGGAGUGGGGGAUAACGUAGCGAAAGUUACGCUAAUACCGCAUAUUCUGUGAGCAGGAAAGCGGGGGACCUUCGGGCCUCGCGCUCUUGGAGCGGCCGAUGUCGGAUUAGCUAGUUGGUGAGGUAAAGGCUCACCAAGGCGACGAUCCGUAGCAGGUCUGAGAGGAUGAUCUGCCACACUGGAACUGAGACACGGUCCAGACUCCUACGGGAGGCAGCGAGGU
rnacentral:rRNA from 1 species